GGCCCAGUAGCGGACGGUCCGCGCCUGCACUCGAUUAUGAGUUACGAGGUUAUUAAGAAGUCGGCAGGAGCCGCUCGUUCGACUCGAGCCUGGGCCG